GAAGAAAAUCCUUUUGACUCUCUGGAAUCAUUGAGGGCUGUAACAAGUGGGGGAGAACCGAGUGCAGCACAGCCAGAGAGCUGUGUCAUGAAGAGGAUGCUGCGGUCCUGAGAGUCAUGUGGGUCCCCGUAGCAGAAGUGACGGCAGCAAGACACCACCAGAAGAGGACACAGAGCUAAUUCCCAAGACAGCCAGCAGGAGACGCUGCAGUGGUGCAGUAGAUACUCAAAUAUGUCUUGUAUGGACGAACAUGUGGGUGAGACUCCACACUGGGACACCCAAACAGAGAAUAGUUUCCACUUAAAGAGAUCCUGACAGCCAGCCAGGGCAGAAUACCAGAUGGCUUUUGAGGUCUGUAGGGCUUCCUUGAAAGGAGCAGGGAGAAGAAGAAGAAAGAAAAAAAAAAGAGGAAGAUUGGUUGAAGGCGCCCCUGCAAGAGAGUCACCCUCUAUCUACUUCCUAGUAGCUAGUUUCCAUAUUUCUUGUGAGAGUCUGUCCGUUUCUCUUUGAGCCUGAACCAACAGCCGGCGAGUCUCCAAAAGCUCCAAGUGAAUGUGCUGCAUCUGUUCUCGUUCUAGCCUCAACUGCUGACCUAAAUCUAAUGCUUCCUUGUACUGGUCUGCAAUGCACUUCUCCUGAUCUUUCACUGUCUGUAAUAGAUACAGACUAACACGGGUGCUACUCUGAAACCUGUUUUUGAAGGGAGAUUUUGAAGUCUAUUUAAGCCCAUGGGAGACCCCUCCAUUUUGUCUUCAGCUGGCAAAGGAGAUAGCCUCUCCACCCCCAAGGAUACCUGAAAGAAACUGGAACAAAAGAGAGUAACUACAGGGGGUGUGAGUGAUUGCUGGACCCGGACUAGAAGGAGAUUAGUCUGUAAAAGGAAGAUUACUGGAACUGGUGAGGUUUUGUCUGUAUUCAGUUUUAUUAGACAUAGACUUGUGGGUUUUAUUUUAUUUUAUUUUGCUUGGUAAUUCACUUCGUUCUGUUACUACUUAGAAACACUUAAAUCCUACUUUCCAUAUUUAAUAAAACUCAUUUUUUACUUAUAAUUAA